rnacentral:rRNA from 1 species
AUUGAACGCUGGCGGCAGGCCUAACACAUGCAAGUCGAGCGGAGCGGCGGACGGGUGAGUAAUGCCUAGGAAUCUGCCUGGUAGUGGGGGAUAACGUCCGGAAACGGGCGCUAAUACCGCAUACUAUCAGAUGAGCCUAGGUCGGAUUAGCUAGUUGGUGGGGUAAAGGCCUACCAAGGCGACGAUCCGUAACUGGUCUGAGAGGAUGAUCAGUCACACUGGAACUGAGACAGGGUCCAGCCUCCUACGGGAGGAGGCAGGGGGAAUUAUUGGACAAUGGGGGAAAGCCUGAGCAAGCCAUGCCGCGUGUGGUAAGAGGGUCUUCGGAUUGUAAAGCACGUUAAGUUGGGAGGCGGUACCAACAGAAUAAGCACCGGCUAACUUCGUGCCAGCAGCCGCGGUAAUUC